GCACGACUACGAGAAGUGCACUGCACUUGAACGAAAUAACUACCGGAAGUGUGGUGGUGUGGCGAGCGUGACUGAGCGAGACUGCUGUGACUUCUAAACUACCGCAAUGUCUGCACCACUCCGGGGCGCUCUUUCUCGCUCUCUUCAAAUAAUGAAGACAACAAUGCAGCAAAAAGCUACGGUCAUAUCUGGACCUCCGAAGAACAGAGUCUCCACAGCGGAGAAAGCUGCUCUGGCAAGUUUUAUGGUAGUCUCAGUUUGCUUUCCAGCAGGCUACAUCCUAGCAAAUCUGGACAGCUACCGCAAGGAGUGAAGUGUACAUAAAAUUGUCCAUGGAGUGUGUUUGUGGUGACGACACUUGCCCAGGACUAUUUUGUUUUCAGCAUCCCGUUACUGGAAUUGAUGGAUAUCACCUUUUGAGCCAUUUCAAAGAAAUUCUGUAGUUUGUUGUGUAAAUCACUCUGAGUAAAUUGAAAUUACAUCUUGUGUUAUAUGACUUUCAGACAUGUAUUCUUAACAUCUGUGAGUCAUCAUUGUGCUGUUCAAGAAAUAAUGAUAUGGUUGUUGUUAUGGUUAGAAGACAUCAAGAGAUCCAUACUCGCACAUAGUGAAAUUGAAGAGCUAUGCAGGUUAUCAGAACAAGCCAAAAGGUUGUAAGAAAAUGAAAUUUAGUUCACCUAAGAUAAAAUCUUUCACUAGCCAU